rnacentral:rRNA from 1 species
AUUCCGGUUGAUCCUGCCGGAGGUCAUUGCUAUUGGGGUCCGAUUUAGCCAUGCUAGUUGCACGAGUUCAUACUCGUGGCGAAAAGCUCAGUAACACGUGGCCAAACUACCCUACAGAGAGCGAUAACCUCGGGAAACUGAGGCUAAUAGUUCAUACGGGAGUCAUGCUGGAAUGCCGACUCCCCGAAACGCUCAGGCGCUGUAGGAUGUGGCUGCGGCCGAUUAGGUAGACGGUGGGGUAACGGCCCACCGUGCCGAUAAUCGGUACGGGUUGUGAGAGCAAGAGCCCGGAGACGGAAUCUGAGACAAGAUUCCGGGCCCUACGGGGCGCAGCAGGCGCGAAACCUUUACACUGCACGCAAGUGCGAUAGGGGGACCCGAGUGUGUGGGUCGUACUAGACUCACUCGACCUUUGUUAUCGUGACGUUUCCGGGACGGCACCCGGGCGUCCGGUGCCGCCCCGCGGUAUGUACCGGCAGUCUGGUGAUGGCCGAUAGUUAUUGGGCCUAAAUGCGUCCGUAGCCGGCUGGGUAAGUCAUCGGGAAAUCCGGCCAGCUCACUGGUCGGCGUCCGGUGAAAACCACGUGGCUUGGGACCGGAAGGCUCGAGGGGUACGUCCGGGGUAGGAGUGAAAUCCUGUAAUCCUGGACGGACCACCAAUGGGGAAACCACGUUGAGAGACCGGACCCGACAGUGAGGGACGAAAGCCAGGGUCUCGAACCGGAUUAGAUACCCGGGUAGUCCUGGCUGUAAACAAUGCUCGCUAGGUAUGUCACGCGCCAUGAGCACGUGAUGUGCCGUAGUGAAGACGAUAAGCGAGCCGCCUGGGAAGUACGUCCGCAAGGAUGAUACUUAAAGGAAUUGGCGGGGGAGCACAACAAACGGAGGAGCCUGCGUUAUAAUUGGUCUCAACGCCGGCCAUCUCACCAGCUCCGAGAACACUGGAGAGGAUCAGGUUGAUGGCCUUAUCACGACGCAGUAUCGAGGAGAUGCAUGGCCGCCGUCAGCUCGUACCGUGAGGCGUCCUGUUAAGUCAGGCAACGAGCGAGACCCACACUUCUAGUUGCCAGCAACACCCCUGCGGUGGUUGGGUACACUAGGAGGACUGCCAUUGCCAAAGACCACGAAGGAACGGGCAACGGUAGGUCAGUAUGCCCCGAAUGAGCUGGGCUACACGCGGGCUACAAUGGUCGAGACAAUGGGUUGCUAUCUCGAAAGACGACGCUAAUCUCCUAAACUCGAUCGUAGUUCGGAUUGAGGGCUGAAACUCGCCCUCAUGAAGCUGGAUUCGGUAGUAAUCGCAUUUCAAUAGAGUGCGGUGAAUACGUCCCUGCUCCUUGCACACACCGCCCGUCAAAGCACCCGAGUGAGGUCCGGAUGAGGCCACCACACGGUGGUCGAAUCUGGGCUCCGAAGGAGGCUUAAGUCGUAACAAGGUAGCCCGUAGAUGAAUCUGCGCUAGAUCUACCUACUA